rnacentral:rRNA from 1 species
UACGUAGGGGGCUAGCGUUGUCCGGAAUCAUUGGGCGUAAAGCGCGUGUAGGCGGUCCGGUAAGUCCGCUGUGAAAGUCGAGGGCUCAACCCUCGAAUGCCGGUGGAUACUGUCGGGCUUGAGUACGGGGGAGGCGAGUGGAAUUCCUGGUGUAGCGGUGAAAUGCGCAGAUAUCAGGAGGAACACCGAUUGCGAAGGCAGCUCGCUGGAACGUUACUGACGCUAAGGCGCGAAAGCGUGGGGAGCGAACAGG